rnacentral:piRNA from 1 species
UCAAAGCUGAUUCUCUUACAACUACACGAG